rnacentral:rRNA from 1 species
UACGUAGGGGGCAAGCGUUGUCCGGAAUCAUUGGGCGUAAAGAGCGUGUAGGCGGCUCGGUAAGUCCGCUGUGAAAGUCCAGGGCUCAACCCUGGAAUGCCGGUGGAAACUGUCGAGCUAGAGUCCGGAAGAGGCGAGUGGAAUUCCUGGUGUAGCGGUGAAAUGCGCAGAUAUCUGGAAGAACACCAAAGGCGAAGGCGGUGUCCUGGGUGGUCGCUGACGCUGAGAGGCGAAAGCCAGGGGAGCGAACGGG